UUCGAUUAACGCGAAGACCCUUACCAGCCCUUGACAUGGGACUCGCCGGGAGCAGAGACGCUCCUUUCGGUCCGGCCGGAGUCCGCACAGGUGCUGCAUGGCUGUCGUCAGCUCGUGUCGUGAGAUGUUGGGUUAAGUCCCGCAACGAGCGCAACCCUCGUCUCCAGUUGCCAUCAGGUAAUGCUGGGCACUUUGGAGAAACUGCCGGUGACAAGCCGGAGGAAGGUGGGGAUGACGUCAAGUCCUCAUGGCCCUUACGGGCUGGGCUACACACGUGCUACAAUGGCGGUGACAAUGGGAUGCGAAGGUGCGAGCCGGAGCCGAUCCUAAAAAGCCGUCUCAGUUCGGAUUGCACUCUGCAACUCGAGUGCAUGAAGUUGGAAUCGCUAGUAAUCGAGGAUCAGCAUGCCUCGGUGAGUACGUUCCCGGGCCUUGUCACACCGAAUCACUA
rnacentral:rRNA from 1 species